UACGUAGGGGGCGAGCGUUGUCCGGAAUGACUGGGCGUAAAGGGCGCGUAGGUGGCCUUAUAAGUUUGGAGUGAAAGUCCCGCUUUCAAGGUGGGAAUUGCUUUGGAAACUGUAGGGCUUGAGUGUGGGAGAGGAUAGCGGAAUUCCCGGUGUAGCGGUGAAAUGCGUAGAGAUCGGGAGGAACACCAGUGGCGAAGGCGGCUAUCUGGACCAAGACUGACACUGAGGCGCGAAAGCGUGGGUAGCAAAC
rnacentral:rRNA from 1 species